AGAGUUUGAUCAUGGCUCAGAACGAACGCUGGCGGCAGGCCUAACACAUGCAAGUCGAACGCGACCUUCGGGUCGAGUGGCGCACGGGUGAGUAACGCGUGGGAAUCUGCCCUGUGGUACGGAAUAACAUCGGGAAACUGGUGCUAAUACCGUAUAUCCCCUGAGGGGGAAAGAUUUAUCGCCAUGGGAGGAGCCCGCGUAGGAUUAGCUAGUUGGUGAGGUAACGGCUCACCAAGGCGACGAUCCUUAGCUGGUCUGAGAGGAUGAUCAGCCACACUGGGACUGAGAUACGGCCCAGACUCCUACGGGAGGCAGCAGUGGGGAAUAUUGGACAAUGGGGGAAACCCUGAUCCAGCCAUGCCGCGUGUGUGAUGAAGGCCUUCGGGUUGUAAAGCACUUUCGCACGUGACGAUGAUGACGGUAACGUGAGAAGAAGCCCCGGCUAACUUCGUGCCAGCAGCCGCGGUAAUACGAAGGGGGCAAGCGUUGUUCGGAAUUACUGGGCAAAGGGCGCGUAGGCGGUGCACUAAGUCAGGCGUGAAAGCCCUGGGCUCAACCCGGGAAUUGCGCUUGAUACUGGUGCGCUUGAAUCCAGGAGAGGUUGGUGGAAUUCCCAGUGUAGAGGUGAAAUUCGUAGAGAUUGGGAAGAACACCGGUGGCGAAGGCGGCCAACUGGACUGGUAUUGACGCUGAGACGCGAAAGCGUGGGGAGCAAACAGGAUUAGAUACCCUAGUAGUCC
rnacentral:rRNA from 1 species